rnacentral:rRNA from 1 species
GACGAACGCUGGCGGCGCGCCUAACACAUGCAAGUCGAACGAGCGAGAGAGAGCUUGCUUUCUCGAGCGAGUGGCGAACGGGUGAGUAACGCGUGAGGAACCUGCCUCAAAGAGGGGGACAACAGUUGGAAACGACUGCUAAUACCGCAUAAGCCCACGGCUCGGCAUCGAGCAGAGGGAAAAGGAGCAAUCCGCUUUGAGAUGGCCUCGCGUCCGAUUAGCUAGUUGGUGAGGUAACGGCCCACCAAGGCAACGAUCGGUAGCCGGACUGAGAGGUUGAACGGCCACAUUGGGACUGAGACACGGCCCAGACUCCUACGGGAGGCAGCAGUGGGGAAUAUUGCACAAUGGGGGAAACCCUGAUGCAGCGACGCCGCGUGGAGGAAGAAGGUCUUCGGAUUGUAAACUCCUGUUGUUGAGGAAGAUAAUGACGGUACUCAACAAGGAAGUGACGGCUAACUACGUGCCAGCAGCCGCGGUAAAACGUAGGUCACAAGCGUUGUCCGGAAUUACUGGGUGUAAAGGGAGCGCAGCGGGAAAGACAGUUGGAAGUGAAAUCUAUGGGCUCAACCCAUAAACUGCUUUCAAACUGUUUUUCUUGAGUAGUGCAGAGGUAGGCGGAAUUCCCGGUGUAGCGGUGGAAUGCGUAGAUAUCGGGAGGAACACCAGUGGCGAAGGCGGCCUACUGGGCACCAACUGACGCUGAGGCUCGAAAGUGUGGGUAGCAAACAGGAUUAGAUACCCUGGUAGUCCACACCGUAAACGAUGAUUACUAGGUGUUGGAGGAUUGACCCCUUCAGUGCCGCAGUUAACACAAUAAGUAAUCCACCUGGGGAGUACGACCGCAAGGUUGAAACUCAAAGGAAUUGACGGGGGCCCGCACAAGCAGUGGAGUAUGUGGUUUAAUUCGACGCAACGCGAAGAACCUUACCAGGUCUUGACAUCCUGCGAUGAUGCUGGAAACAGUAUUUUCCUUCGGGACGCAGAGACAGGUGGUGCAUGGUUGUCGUCAGCUCGUGUCGUGAGAUGUUGGGUUAAGUCCCGCAACGAGCGCAACCCUUACUGUCAGUUACUACGCAAGAGGACUCUGGCAGGACUGCCGUUGACAAAACGGAGGAAGGUGGGGAUGACGUCAAAUCAUCAUGCCCUUUAUGACUUGGGCUACACACGUACUACAAUGGCGUUAAACAAAGAGAAGCAAGACCGCGAGGUGGAGCAAAACUCAGAAACAACGUCCCAGUUCGGACUGCAGGCUGCAACUCGCCUGCACGAAGUCGGAAUUGCUAGUAAUCGUGGAUCAGCAUGCCACGGUGAAUACGUUCCCGGGCCUU